GGAGGGAUGGCCGAGUGGUUGAAGGCGGCGGUCUUGAAAACCGUUGAUCCGUGGAAACGGGUCCGUGGGUUCGAAUCCUACUCCCUCCGCCA
rnacentral:tRNA from 1 species